rnacentral:miRNA from 2 species
CCUAUUCUUGAUUACUUGCACU